GGCCCGGUUGGAUGGUCUGCUCUAGGGCUUGUACUGUCCUGACUGGGUCUUACCUUCUGGUGAGCUGUCGUGUUGUUUUGCAGCGCGGCAGGGAACCAGGACUUUUACUUUGAAAAAAUUAGAGUGUUUAAAGCAGGCAUUCGCUUGAAUACAUUAGCAUGGAAUAAUAAAAUAGGACUUUGGUUCUAUUUUGUUGGUUUCUAGGAUUGACGUA
rnacentral:rRNA from 1 species